rnacentral:rRNA from 1 species
GGCCGCGGUAUAUUGACCGUGCAAAGGUAGCAUAAUCAUUAGUUCAUUAAUUGUGGACUUGUAUGAAUGGUCGGACAAAAUAUUAACUGUCUCAUAUUGUAUUUUAUAAUUUAAAAUUUGAGUUAAAAUGCUUAAAUUAGUUUAUAGGACGAGAAGACCCUAUAGAUCUUUAUUAUUAUUUUAAUUUAAUUGGUUUUGUUUAUUUUUAAUUGAUUUAUUUGAUUUUUUAGUUGGGGUGACGUUAAGAUAUAAUUAACUCUUUUUAUUCUAUUCCAAUUAUUUUUGUUUAUUUGACCUAUUAUUAGUAUUUAGAAGAUAUAGAUACCUUAGGGAUAACAGCGUAAUUUUUUUUGAGAGUUCUUAUCGACAAAGAAGAUUGCGACCUCGAUGUUGGAUUAAGAAUAAUGUUUAGGUGAAGGAGCUUAAAUAUUAAGUCUGUUCGACUUUUAAAUUCUUACAUGAUCUGAGUUCAAACCGGAGA